rnacentral:rRNA from 1 species
GAUGAACGCUAGCGGCGGGCCUAAUACAUGCAAGUCGAACGGUAACAUGAGUAGCAAUACUUGAUGACGAGUGGCGCACGGGUGCGUAACGCGUAUGCAAUCUACCUUUAACCGGUGAAUAGCCCGAAGAAAUUCGGAUUAAUACAACAUAGUAUGAUGAGGAGGCAUCUCCUUAUCAUUAAAGUUCCGACAGUUAAAGAUGGACAUGCGUGACAUUAGCUAGUUGGUAAGGUAACGGCUUACCAAGGCAACGAUGUCUAGGGGAUCUGAGAGGAUUAACCCCCACACUGGUACUGAGACAGGGACCCGACUCCAACGGGAGGCAGCAGUAAGGAAGAUUAGACAAUGGUGGCAACACUGAUCCAGCCAUGCCGCGUGAAGGAUGAAGGCCCUAUGGGUUGUAAACUUCUUUUGUACGGGAAAAAACCUUCUUACGUGUAAGAAGCUGAUUGUACUGUAAGAAUAAGGAUCGGCUAACUCCGUGCCAGCCGCCGCGGUAACAC